rnacentral:sRNA from 1 species
UGACUGAUCAGUUCACCAUCAGCAAGGUA